CUGUAUGUCAUUUUUGUUUCCGCCAGGAACGUUCUUUCACUGUUACUAACUGGACAAAAACUCAUCUUGAGGAAGCCUCUCCUGAAUAACCUCAACAUUCUUGUAUUUAUCUUCUUUGCACUUGUUAUCUGCCGCCUUAGGCAACAGGACACGUGAUAACAUUUUUUGACAGUUGAUGAAGUAUGUACUGUCUAUUCCUGUGUUCCUGUGUCUUCUAGAAUUUUCUAAGGAGCUACGCUCAAACCGCACAGGAAAAAUCUCCUAGGAUCUCGCUAAAACAUCUUUGAAAAUGCCUGCCACAUACGUGAUUCAGUGAGUGAGAACACCGUGCUCACCAGUCGGAGCUCUGCGCUCAAGCCUGGCUUAGACAUGCUCCCUAACAGGGCAGGAACUCACUUCUUAACCUUUGCUACUUGUUUCAAAAACUCUCAAACUUGUCAAGGGGGCCUAGGUGACGGUCUAAAGCUGCAUCAGCACAAAUCUGUCUGAUCUACUGGAAAAACAACUCAAAGUACAAGUUUUGUCAUUUCAAAAGUUCUAUUUGGCCAAAUAAUUUUAAGUAUGUUGGAAGAGUUAAAUAUUUAAAGAACUAUUUCUGUGUAACCAGGAUUUUCAGGCUCUGGGCAUAUUUUUGGAGUAACAAUCAAUGGCAGGGAAACCCCAACAAUUCAACAGGCUAUUUGCACAAUCCCUUGGAAGUAGCCAGACUGCAGAGUCAAAUUUAAAUUAUUCGUGGUCACGGGAAGCAAAGACUACACCAACCAAAGUGCACAGAGAAUUCGAGAAUGUUAUUUUAGCAAUUUCAACGUUUUGAGAGCAAAUCUUUUGUGCCUGUUCCCUAAUUUAGGUGCUAACAGUUACAGUGGAGGUCCUAGUAAGGCACGUAACCUGGGAAGGAAGAAAAACCCCAAAUAUCCCAACAUCAACCGCUGGGUAGCUGACAUUUAGCUUUACGGAAGCUAAUUCUGUUCUUAAUAUCGCUCUCUUCAAAGCAUAUCCAGCCUUAAUUCCAUGAAACAAACAAACAAACAAACAAAC